rnacentral:tRNA from 1 species
CCCGUGCGUGCACGACGCAUGCGCGAAGUCGUUGGCUUCGCGGAUCGGCAAUGCGUCCAGAUCCGCGCGCAGUACGAUGCCGCGGCCAGGGUC